rnacentral:rRNA from 1 species
GACGAACGCUGGCGGUGUGCUUAACACAUGCAAGUCGAACGGAAACGCCCUGCUUGUGUGGGCUGCUCGAUUGGCGAACGAGUGAGUAACACGUGAUUAACCUGCCCUUGACUUUAGGAUAACUUCACGAAACUAGAUCUAAUACCGUAUAGGAUCUCCUCCUGCGUUGUGGGGGUUGGAACUUUUCGGCUGUUGGGGAUGGACUCGCGGCUUAUCAGCUUGUUGGUGGGGUAGUUGCUUACCAAGGCUUUGACGGGUAGCCGGCAUGAGAGGGUGAUCGGCCACAUUGGAACUGAGCUACGGCCCAGUGUCCUAUGGGCGGCAGAAGUGGGGAAUAUUGCACAAUGGGAUGACGCAUGAUGAAGCAACGCCGCGUGUGGAAUGACGGCCUUUGGGUUGUAAAAAGCUUUCGGCUGUGACGAAGCGUGACUGACGGUAAUGGGUAAAGAAGCACCGGCUAACUACGUG